rnacentral:rRNA from 1 species
AACGAACGCUGGCGGCAUGCCUAACACAUGCCAGUCGAACGAGACCUUCGGGUCUAGUGGCGCACGGGUGCGUAACGCGUGGGAACCUGCCCUUAGGUUCGGAAUAACUCCCCGAAAGGGGUGCUAAUACCGGUUAAUGUCUUCGGACCAAAGAUUUAUCGCCUUUGGAUGGGCCCGCGUUGGAUUAGCUAGUUGGUAGGGUAAAAGCCUGCCAAGGCGACGAUCCAUAGCUGGUCUGGGAGGAUGAUCAGCCACACUGGGACUGAGACACGGCCCAGACUCCUACGGGAGGCAGCAGUGGGGAAUAUUGAACAAUGGGCGAAAGCCUGAUCCAGCAAUGCCGCGUGAGUGAUGAAGGCCUUAGGGUUGUAAAGCUCUUUUACCCGGGAUGAUAAUGACAGUACCGGGAGAAUAAGCUCCGGCUAACUCCGUG